CGAACGGGUGAGUAACGCGUGAGGAACCUGCCUCAAAGAGGGGGACAACAGUUGGAAACGACUGCUAAUACCGCAUAAGCCCACGGGUCGGCAUCGACCAGAGGGAAAAGGAGCAAUCCGCUUUGAGAUGGUCUCGCGUCCGAUUAGCUAGUUGGUGAGGUAAUGGCCCACCAAGGCGACGAUCGGUAGCCGGACUGAGAGGUUGAUCGGCCGCAUUGGGACUGAGACACGGCCCAGACUCCUACGGGAGGCAGCAUG
rnacentral:rRNA from 1 species